UGAACGCUGGCGGUAUGCCUAACACAUGCAAGUCGUACGAGAGUUUUUAACUCAAGUGGCGGACGGGUGAGUAACACGUGAGAAUCUGCCUUUAGGAGGGGGACAACAACUGGAAACGGUUGCUAAUACCCCAUAUGCUUUCGAGUGAAAUGGAUUUUUCCGCCUAGAGAGAAGCUUGCGGCUGAUUAGCUUGUUGGUAGGGUAAAGGCCUACCAAGGCGACGAUCAGUAUCUGGUUUGAGAGGACGAUCAGACACACUGGAACUGAGACACGGUCCAGACUCCUACGGGAGGCAGCAGUGGGGAAUUUUCCGCAAUGGGCGAAAGCCUGACGGAGCAAUACCGCGUGAGGGAUGACGGCCUAUGGGUUGUAAACCUCUUUUUUCAGGGAGGAAUCAAUGACGUGUACCUGAAGAAUAAGCAUCGGCUAACUCC
rnacentral:rRNA from 1 species